UCAGUGUAUGCGUGCGGGUUUUCUGUGCCCCAAA
rnacentral:sRNA from 1 species